rnacentral:lncRNA from 1 species
GUAUUGACAAAAGAGAUCACUCUUGCAGUGUCAUUCUUGAUUCAUUUGAGCUUUGUUAAUUAGUUUCACUGGUAUAAUCGUUGUUUUUGUUCAUCACCGGUUCAUGAGGUUUGUCUAAUUCUUUGGUGCUUGAUUAAUCUAUAUUAAUACUACUUUUGUUAUUGCUUUUGCCAAACUGUUAAGUAAUAGCACAAAAAAAUUCUUAUACAAAAAAUUUUGUUUUUGAGUGCAGAUGGAUUCCAAGAUUUUGAAGAACUAGAGGUAUGCAAGGAAGCACAUGAAAUAGAGUGGGAAAAUUUCUAUAGAAGAAUAUAUGUUUUCAGACUUUGACAGCUCUAGCAACUUCCUUUCAUGCGCUACAACCUUUGACAGAUUCUAUAUCUCGCUUUGUAUGGGUUAAGUUACUAAGUGACAUAAAAUUCCAGCCAAAACCAUGAGUAGAAAUGGUCAGAAGAGGUGGCCAUAGUUCCAACAUUUGAUGGUAGAAAUGUUUAACAGAGCCUUUCUUGAGGAACACUGAACUUGUAUCUUUACCAGAAUCAUACCAUCUGACAGACAUCAACAAAGCUUGGAGGCUCUGAUGUGGAGAGCUAUCAAACAACUAUCACUUGAAGAUCAAGACGAGUAGAAUAUUCUCUUUAUUAUUAGGAUGUUAUAUGUUGAUGUUAUAUAAUAACUAUUAGGAUGUUAUAUGUUGAUGGUCUAUUUAUAAAAUUGGUUUUA